rnacentral:rRNA from 1 species
AUUGAACGCUGGCGGCAGGCUUAACACAUGCAAGUCGAGCGGGGGAAGGUAGCUUGCUACUGGACCUAGCGGCGGACGGGUGAGUAAUGCUUAGGAAUCUGCCUAUUAGUGGGGGACAACAUCUCGAAAGGGAUGCUAAUACCGCAUACGUCCUACGGGAGAAAGCAGGGGAUCUUCGGACCUUGCGCUAAUAGAUGAGCCUAAGUCGGAUUAGCUAGUUGGUGGGGUAAAGGCCUACCAAGGCGACGAUCUGUAGCGGGUCUGAGAGGAUGGUCCGCCAAACUGGGACUGGGACACGGCCCAGACUCCUACGGGAGGCAGCAGUGGGGAAUAUUGGACAAUGGGGGGAACCCUGAUCCAGCCAUGCCGCGUGUGUGAAGAAGGCCUUAUGGUUGUAAAGCACUUUAAGCGAGGAGGAGGCUACUCUAGUUAAUACCUAGGGAUAGUGGACGUUACCCGCAGAAUAAGCACCGGCUAACUCUGUGCCAGCCGCCGCGGUAA